rnacentral:piRNA from 1 species
UGUUCUUGGGAACACUCUGGAGGUCCUUGU